rnacentral:rRNA from 1 species
CGUUGUUGCAGUUAAAAAGCUCGUAGUUGAAGUGAGGGAGUGUGUGUUCAUGACAGCUAGCCUCACCGCCCCCAACCUCCCCCCUCCAAUCGGUGUAGUGGGGUAUUCAGUUAUUAAGUACUCCUUUGGUCGUUUACUGUAAGAAAAUUAGAGUGUUCAAAGCGGGCGUUUGUUUGAAUAGAUUAGCAUGGAAUAAUGAUUGAAGGCUUUCGUGUUCGAUUUGAUUGGUUUGUUCAUGGAAGCAAGGUUAAAAGGAACAGUUGGGGGUAUUCAUAUUCACUAGUUAGAGGUAAACUUCUCGGAUUUAUGGAAGAUGAACAGGUGCGAAAGCAUUUACCAAGGAUGUUUUCAUUAAUCA